rnacentral:rRNA from 1 species
UACGUAGGGUGCGAGCGUUAUUCGGAAUUACUGGGCGUAAAGCGUGCGCAGGCGGUUUUGUAAGCCAGAUGUGAAAUCCCCGGGCUCAACCUGGGAAUGGCAUUUGGGACUGCAAGGCUGGAGUACGGCAGAGGAGACUGGAAUUCCUGGUGUAGCAGUGAAAUGCGUAGAGAUCAGGAGGAAUACCGAUGGCGAAGGCAGGUCUCUGGGCUGAUACUGACGCUCAUGCACGAAAGCGUGGGGAGCAAACAGG